rnacentral:rRNA from 1 species
UACGUAGGGUGCAAGCGUUGUCCGGAAUUAUUGGGCGUAAAGAGCUCGUAGGCGGUUUGUCGCGUCUGGUGUGAAAAUCCAGGGCUUAACCCUGGACCUGCAUCGGGUACGGGCAGACUAGAGUGCGGUAGGGGAGAUCGGAAUUCCUGGUGUAGCGGUGAAAUGCGCAGAUAUCAGGAAGAACACCCGUGGCGAAGGCGGUUCUCUGGGACGGUACUGACGCUGAGACGCGAAAGCGUGGGGAGCGAUCCGG